rnacentral:misc_RNA from 1 species
GAUGAAGAACGUAGCGAAAUGCGAUAAGUAGUGUGAAUUGCAGAAUUCAGUGAAUCAUCGAAUCUUUGAACGCACAUUGCGCCCUUUGGUAUUCCUUAGGGCAUGCCUGUUCGAGCGUCAUUUGUACCCUCAAGCUUUGCUUGGUGUUGGGCGUCUUGUCUCUAGCUUUGCUGGAGACUCGCCUUAAAGUAAUUGGCAGCCGGCCUACUGGUUUCGGAGCGCAGCACAAGUCGCACUCUCUAUCAGCAAAGGUCUAGCAUCCAUUAAGCCUUUUUUUCAACUUUUGACCUCGGAUCAGGUAGGGAUACCCGCUGAACUUAAGCAUAUCAAUAAGCGGAGGA